CGAGCGGCGAACGGGUGAGUAACACGUGAGCAACCUGCCCUAGGCUUUGGGAUAACCCUCGGAAACGGGGGCUAAUACCGAAUAUGACCUUAUACCGCAUGGUGUUUGGUGGAAAGUUUUUCGGCCUGGGAUGGGCUCGCGGCCUAUCAGCUUGUUGGUGGGGUGAUGGCCUACCAAGGCGACGACGGGUAGCCGGCCUGAGAGGGCGACCGGCCACACUGGGACUGAGACACGGCCCAGACUCCUACGGGAGGCAGCAGUGGGGAAUAUUGCACAAUGGGCGGAAGCCUGAUGCAGCGACGCCGCGUGAGGGAUGACGGCCUUCGGGUUGUAAACCUCUUUCAGCAGGGACGAAGCGUAAGUGACGGUACCUGCAGAAGAAGCACCGGCCAACUACGUGCCAGCAGCCGCGGUAAGACGUAGGGUGCGAGCGUUGUCCGGAUUUAUUGGGCGUAAAGAGCUCGUAGGCGGCUUGUCGCGUCGACUGUGAAAACCCGCAGCUCAACUGCGGGCCUGCAGUCGAUACGGGCAGGCUAGAGUUCGGUAGGGGAGACUGGAAUUCCUGGUGUAGCGGUGAAAUGCGCAGAUAUCAGGAGGAACACCGGUGGCGAAGGCGGGUCUCUGGGCCGAAACUGACGCUGAGGAGCGAAAGCGUGGGGAGCGAACAGGAUUAGAUACCCUGGUAGUCCACGCUGUAAACG
rnacentral:rRNA from 1 species